GCUUGCUCCACCGAAAGAAAAGGAGUGGCGAACGGGUGAGUAACACGUGGGUAACCUGCCCAUCAGAAGGGGAUAACACUUGGAAACAGGUGCUAAUACCGUAUAACAAUCGAAACCGCAUGGUUUCGGUUUGAAAGGCGCUUUUGCGUCACUGAUGGAUGGACCCGCGGUGCAUUAGCUAGUUGGUGAGGUAACGGCUCACCAAGGCAACGAUGCAUAGCCGACCUGAGAGGGUGAUCGGCCACAUUGGGACUGAGACACGGCCCAAACUCCUACGGGAGGCAGCAGUAGGGAAUCUUCGGCAAUGGACGCAAGUCUGACCGAGCAACGCCGCGUGAGUGAAGAAGGUUUUCGGAUCGUAAAACUCUGUUGUUAGAGAAGAACAAGGAUGAGAGUAAAAUGUUCAUCCCUUGACGGUAUCUAACCAGAAAGCCACGGCUAACUACGUGCCAGCAGCCGCGGUAAUACGUAGGUGGCAAGCGUUGUCCGGAUUUAUUGGGCGUAAAGCGAGCGCAGGCGGUUUCUUAAGUCUGAUGUGAAAGCCCCCGGCUCAACCGGGGAGGGUCAUUGGAAACUGGGAAACUUGAGUGCAGAAGAGGAGAGUGGAAUUCCAUGUGUAGCGGUGAAAUGCGUAGAUAUAUGGAGGAACACCAGUGGCGAAGGCGGCUCUCUGGUCUGUAACUGACGCUGAGGCUCGA
rnacentral:rRNA from 1 species